UAAGAGUUAGGGUUGCUGAUUUUGUGUUGAACCGAGAGUGAUAUCGAGUUGUAAUAAUUGGAGAUUAAGAGGGUUGUCGAUGAAUUGAGGAGAUGAAGCUGUUCUGAUGAAGAAAUAAAAGAAAAGUUCUUAGGAAAUAUAAACUCUGAUUAGGGUUUUACUGAGAAGAUUGGGGUUUGGGUUUGUCUUAAUUGGGAUUAUUGUUAGUGAUUUUGAUAUGGUGAGGCAGUUGAAGUAAGGAUAUGGUGUUGGUUGUUAUAGCUGAGCUGUUGGUGAAGCUGAGGUGAAUGGAAGUAAUGAAGAUGUUAUUGUUGAUGCAGCUAUGGAGAUAAUGCUACUGAAUUAGUAAAGCACAUGAUUUUGGAGAUGGUGUUGAUACCAAAUCGGUUGCUGGUGCAGGACAAGGCAGAGAAGUUGAGUUGAGUAUAGUAUGGAGCUUUAGUUAUUUGUUAGGGUUGUAUUAGAUCACAUGGAGGAAGGAAAGAUGUGUUAAUAAUGAAGUAGUAAUGAAGUGGUUUAGAUGAGUUGUAGAUGAUCUGGGAUGCAAGCUGAGGUGAUGUUGAAUCAUGAGAUAGACUUGUUGGUGGUUGUAAUUGAGUAGGGUGAUGUUAUACAGUACAAGGAAAAGAACUGAGCUGAAAUUUAAAUGAUUGACUAGGAUUGUUGGGCUUCAGCUGUAAUUCGGGAUACUAGUGUGGUGCAGGUCAUGUUAGAUGAUUGCAUAGCAAGUUCAUCAAAUUGAACUGGUGAUGAAGUCAGUUAGAUGAAGAUGUAGUUGAAGUUAUCAAGAUAUAGUGAUGUAGAAGAUGUUGAGACAUAUAAUGGUUAUGCAGAUGCGAAUGAAGUGAACUUGUGUAAGAAAUUUGAGAAAGACGAUAUUUCAGUUGAAGCUUAGAUGAUAGAGAAGUGGCUGAGUUUCGUAUUGAAGUUGUUUCUCAGUAGUGGUGAUAAAUGUAAGAGCUGGUAGUUGGAGUUAGAGUUGGUAGUUGCAGAUGGAACAGAUUUAUUUUGGAAUUACAAAGAAUGGUUGGUUGAUGUAAUGGUGCUUGUAUGAAUGAUAGUCAUACUGGAGUGGCACUUCAUGAAGCUAUGAUAUUGUGGUGUUUGAGUUGAAACAAAGAAGAGAUAAUUAAGUUGUGUACUUUUGCAAUGGGGUUUAGAAAUGCAUUUUUUGAGUCUUGGCA